AUUGAACGCUGGCGGCAUGGCUAAAACAUGCAAGUCGAGCGCGAAAGAGGAGCAAUCCUCAAGUAGAGCGGCGAAAGGGUGAGUAAUACGUUCCUACGUACCUCGAGGUCAGGGAUAGCCAGGGGAAACUCUGGGUAAUACCUGAUGUGGUCGAGAGAUCAAAGGCUUGCCGCCUUGAGAGCGGGGAACGUCCUAUCAGCUAGUUGGUGAGGUAACGGCUCACCAAGGCUUUGACGGGUAGCGGGUGUGAGAGCAUGGCCCGCCACAUCGGAACUGAGACACUGUCCGGACUCCUACGGGAGGCUGCAGUAACGAAUCUUCCGCAAUGCGCGCAAGCGUGACGGAGCAAUGCCGCGUGCAGGAUGAAGCCCUUCGGGGUGUAAACUGCUGUCAGGGUUUAGAAACACAAUGAUCAAACCCAAAGGAAGAGACGACUAACUCCGUGCCAGCAGUCGCGGUAAUACAGAGGUCUCGAGCGUAGUCGGU
rnacentral:rRNA from 1 species